UCAAUCAACUGGUGGACAAGAUAAUAUUUCUGGCUGAGAAUUCUCGAACCACAGGUCAACGUCUCAGAACAAGGGAUACACCAUUCAUGAAUGACGUGAUGAGAAAUUUCUUGAGUCAGGGAAUGGCCAGUCUUUGGAAUUAUCUACAUCAGGCAGACGUGGAAGCUCGGCCACUGGGUGCAUUCAGCUUACUUUCUAGGCAGAAAAACCAAGAAAAAACCUUUCUGUGUUGUUGUUCAUCAUUUUCACUCAGGUGAUGGAGACUCAAGGCCGUAAUGGUUGACUAUUACUUAUGGUUGACUUAUGGUUGAAAAAGGUAUUAAAUCAUCCCAAUAGAACAAAAUCAAGACAUCCCAAGAUGUGUCUAUCUUGGUAAAGGUAGCCAAUUUUGACCAGAGCAAAGCCCAGGAUUUUCUGGACAAAUAUUGCAAGCACAAAAGUUUGUGAAAUCAACUGAAAUUGUAUUCUCAGCGCUGAUAUUGAUGUUGCGGUUUCAAAUCUUGAGCUCAAAAG